GCUGGGAGUUACCAGUAUUUUUUCCCCAUUUAUUGUCUUUUGAAUGUGUUUAUCACCAUUCUCCAUGCAGAAUUUUUCCUACUUAAAUGGAUUACUUUCUUAAUUUGGGGGAGAUACCAGGGUGAACCCAGGGCACUUAACCACUGAGCCACAUCCCCAGCCCUUUUUAUUUUAUUUUUUAAAUUUUGAGACAGGGUCUAAGUCCCUAGGGCCUCACUGAGUUGCUAAAGUUGAUCUUGAACUUACAAUCCUCCUGUCUCAGCCUCCCAAGUCAUUGGGAUUUCAGGCAUGGGUCACUGCACCUGGUAUCAAUUUAUUUUUAUGUCUACUGGGGUUUUCUGUCACACUUAGGGAUGUCCUUCCUACUUCAAAAUUAUUUAUAAAACAUCCCCAUAUUUACUUCUGUAAUUUUUAUGCUUUCAUUUUUUUGCAUGCAAAUCAUUUUACAUUUAAGACUUUGAUCUUUCUGUUAUUUAUUUUGGAAAAGAUACAAAGUAGUGGAAGAAGGAGAUAAACUUUCAUAGUAGUUUUUGUUCUAUUUACUGAGUGGAAGCCACUCUGGACAGGAGCCUGGGCCCUGGUCUGGGUGAACUUGCACUCACCUGCCAAGCUGGGCGGAUGGGGACCUCUUCAAGCGUUUUAUCUGCAAAGGAAGACAGCUGGUUUGGAUGACUUCCCAGGUGCUCUCCAUCAGACAGGCAUUGAACCUGCCAAGGAUGCUCCUUCUUUCUCUCUGAGUUCUUGGAAGGCUGAGAUGGACACCAACAGACUGUGUGGUCAGUGUCAGGAACCACUGCCUUUUCUUCCUGUGUUCAAUUAAUUAAUAUUUAUUGAGUGCAUGUUGUGAUGAAUCAGCAGAAACCUGACCCUGAGCACGUCAAGGGCCCAGCCUUCCAAUGGCAAAUUAGGAGCUCCAGCCCCCUGCAGACUGCACUGAGGGUCGAUUAUAUGUUGGACGCACAGAUGGGAAAACACCUGAUAAGCUCACUCCAGUUGCAGAGUGAGAAACAAUAAGCGUGUGAGUACUUCCUGUUUCACAGAGUGUUCGUAGAUGAGCUCAUUGAAUUCUUAAACACUGCAAGGGUUGGAGGGCUGAGUGACUUACGUAGGGGAUCUGUUGUGUCAGAUGUAAAAUGAGUUUGUUGGUUUUUAUAGGUGUUGGUUUUGAGUCUUUCUAGAGUAUUUUCUAGAUUGCAGAGCUGGAGGCCCAUAAAUGCGAUACCACCCAAGGAGCGGGUGGAAGAGAUUUCUAGAUAGAAGAAGGGUCGUGCGGGACUUCAGAAGGAUACUGCUUAUGUGCUGGGCUUUGCACAGGGCUUAGGAGGGAGCAGGGAGGCAGCAGGUUUGGGGACAGAGCUCAGAGGAGGCACAAGACCACUGUGGGGCAGGCUGCUUCUAUCUAGAAUGUUCCAGCAGGACUGCCUGAAACCCUGUUGGAAAGGACCCAUCUUAUUAGGGCCAGAGCUAAAUGGUUGCUAGCUAACUCCGGGAUUUGAUCAUUUGAGACAUAAAAAAGACAUAUGCAAAGAUCCCUAGAGAGAGAUUCCUGUUUGGCCUUAUAUCUAGAAUAGUUGUCUUGCUCCUGGAUUCUGCCCUGUUUGCACCUUGUGGCACUGGGGUGGCUAGAACGUGGACAUCAGAGCUGUUGGCCUUAGCAACAGUUACUCCUGCUGGAAUCCUGCACGAAUCGCUCUAUCUUCCUUCGGGGGAACUUGGAGGCUGCCAGGAUCCCUCCCCCUGCUUCCACUCACACUGGGGACCUGGUCCUGGGUGACAGUCAGGGGACUCCAGCUGGAGCAGACCGAGCCCAGUUAGUUCUUCUCCUGAGGCCGUUCGUCCUCAGCCUGGAGCUGCCCCACUCUAUGCCCAGCGCCUGCCAGCCUGGGUACAGCACCCAGAACACAGUACCCACGGCUGAAUGCCCAGUUCCUGUGGUCCCUGAGUCCAGUUCCUCUUCUUCCUUUCCCUGUGAGUCAAGGAAAUCCCCACAUUGUC
rnacentral:lncRNA from 1 species